UAAGGAAUAUUGCUCAAUGGGAGAAAUCCUGAAGCAGCAACGCCGCGUGGAGGAUGAAGGGUCUAUGACUUGUAAACUCCUGUAAAGAAGGAAAAAAUUCCCAUUAGAUGGGAGAUGAUGGUACUUCUGGAGUAAGCCCCGGCUAACUACGUGCCAGCAGCCGCGGUAAUACGUAGGGGGCAAGCGUUGUCCGGAUUUACUGGGUGUAAAGGGUGCUCAGGCGGAUUUGUAAGUCAGAGGUGAAAUCUUACAGCUUAACUGUGAAACUGCCAUUGAUACUGCAAGCCUAGAGUAUGGAAGAGAGUGAUGGAAUAUCUGGUGUAGCAGUGAAAUGCGUAGAUAUCAGAUAGAACACCAAUGGCGAAGGCAGUCACUUGGUCCAUUACUGACGCUAAAGCACGAAAGCGUGGGUAGCAAACA
rnacentral:rRNA from 1 species